GUGCGUCCAAAUGUUUUGAUGCCUUGACCCCAACAUCUUUCAGGUGAUUCGUCCCUGGGGGUAAGCACAAGUGUGCUGGGUGAUAUCAACUAGAAAGCUGAUAAGUGGGUGCUCUGAAACCACAAUUUAUUUUUUGGAAUGAAAUGGGGAACAUUAACAGCUUAUUUCAUUUUACACCUUUCACUGCAGAGGGGUCCCCGUCAGCACUCUGAGUUCUGCCCACCUUCUCUUUGAGUCCAUCUACCAUGACCUACCUUGGCGUGAGGCAUUUUAUUUCAGGAAAAGGAAUAAAUACAGUUACAUGGGCAGUGAGCGUUUCUUCAAAGCUUUGCUUGGCCAAGCCAUGCCACGAUCCCACCACAGCAGCUAAUGACCAAUCAUACCGUGUGCUCUAUACACCAAUACUAUUCCAUCAUUUGGAUUUCAUGGACUGGUAAAAUUAGAGGGGAACAAUGCUGAGGACUAACAGAGUGGCCAAAUACAUAUUUGUCUUAUAAGGACAUUUAAAAACUUCAUGCGUUAGUACCUUAAUUGGAAAACAAAAACCUGAAAAAAUUAUUAGACAUAACCUCAGGAGUUUCAAAACAGAGUAAGUUUAAAUUUACAGAAUACUCACUACACUUUCUUAUCUGCCUGACUCUCUGUACAAGGAUUCAGUUGCUGGCGGGGACAGAGAGCAACAUGUCCCAGGGAAGCUGAGGAAGAACGUGGAUGGAAAACAGACUGCUUCUGGCGAUGUGAACCUUCCCUUACCUUAGGAAGAAGGUGCUGGGUGAGCUGGCUCCUAGCUCCUGCCUUCUCCCACUUCCCAGCUUGCUGCAGCCCUCUGGUGACAGUCAGACAAUGAUAUGGAAGGAUUCCUGACUAAUUCGGAUGGACGUGAGCUGAACCUUCCCUGCUUCUGGCCAACCUCUUGACUAUAUAUAUAUAUAUAAAGAAUUGCAAUAUAUAUAUAUAUAUAUUAGAUAUAUAUAUUAGAUCUAAUAUAUAUAAUUUUGCAAUCCAUUUAUUUGUCUCUGUAUUCACUCCCAUCCCCAAAUUAUUUUCAUGGUGGAGAAACAAACUUUGUGCCCCUUCUUCAACUGCAAAACCUUGCUCUGCCCUCCCUUCAGUUGCACUGCUUCUCUUAGUCUGUGCAGGAAAUCGAAGCCUCGUGCCCUCGGACUCAAGGCUCUCCCAGACCUCCAUCCCUCCCACUCGUGCUGUCUGUCCUAGCUUCCUGUUGCCUGUCUCCUCCCUCUCCAGGCCGACAGAGGUUUCUCAAGACAUUCUGAAGGCUCCCAAAUCUGCCACUCCCCAGUCUUCUCCCUCUCCCUCCUUUUGCUGACACGUUCCUCCAUAGAGCAGUCUACACUUAACUUCUCUUCUUUCUCACCUCCACCCAUUCUCUUUGGUUUGCCCUCUGCAAUCCUUCCUCCAUAGCCGAACACACACUACUAUAGCUGUCCCAUCUGGGGUCAUAAUGACCUCCCAAUUGCCGCAACCAAGAGCUUGUUGUAAGUCCUCCAUUCAAACUAUCUAAAUAGGAGGACGUGGAGGUCCAUAGUUCAAGAUUUACCUCCACUGGCUUUAGAGAUAAUUCAGUUGCAGUCCAAAAAGAUUACUUACCGGCGGAACUGAGAUGUGGCCCCAGCCUUCUGUUAACCAUGUUGAUGUUCUUUCUCCUAAAGACCACCACCUGCCUUGACCUUCCCUGUAACACCUGACCCUGUUGACUCUACACUCCUUCUUAACUCUUCCCUGGUCCUUUCAUAGUAUACAUUCCUCAUCUACCCAGAUCCCUCUGGUAAUGCCUGCUAGCUCCUUUUCCUCUUGCAUUCUACAUAAAUAUAGAUAUGCCCUAAAUAUCAUAGCUUUUCCAGUAGUAAGGAUCAUAUCUAGCACACACAUUUUCUUCUUCCCACCUCUCUUCUGUCUCCAUAUACUGCCAGUGGGAGUUCAACCUAUUAGAAAUGCCCUCUGACAACCAAAAACAUCCUUCUCUUUCAUCACCCGUAAAUAAGCACCUACCAUGUGAGAUUCAGCACAGGAGGGGAAUCUGGGAUCAGACUGCCUAAUUUCAAAUCCCAGCUCAGCUUCUUUAGCACAUGCCAUUGUGACCUGGCAAGAUUCUUCCCAAGUCUUCAUUUUUUCUUCUAACCACCUACGAUUGUUGUGAAGACUAAUGAGAAAUUACUCAUACAGAGUUACUCAGUGAAGUGGCUGGCUUGCAGCAUUAAUGGUAAAUGCUCAGUAGAUUUUAGUUUUCUUCCUUUCUUUUUUACAUUUUCACUUUUAAUGUUUGCUAGGGAUGAUGCUGAACCCUAGUUCCAUCCCUUGUAUAGCUCAGCGUCUGGUGUAAUUAAACUUUAGAUGUGCCACAGCAGCUGUCUGCAGAGUAGAUGGGGAGAAAGGAGUGAAGAGUUAAUUCUACUUAGGGCAUCAGAAAAACCUUCAUUUGAAGAGCUAAACACUAAUCUCAAUCUUGUUUUUUUUUCCUGGGGACUAAGCUGCUAUACAGACCACAUGUAAACUUUAUUUAAUAGAAGCUUCACAAGUGAGCAAUAUCAUGGCAAGAAAAAAACAUUUAGAACAGAAUUGUUCAGACAUUGGGGUGCAUUUAGCUACUAGGGUGGGCAAGAAACAUAGGCCAGAAUAAUUUGUGGCUACCCCUGAGGAUAUUCACAGUAUGUAACACCUCAAGCCAGAGAAGCCAUGGAAACACCUGGUGUGAUACAUCUGUACUUGUGGCACGAAAGUCAGGACAGGCACCUUUUAUAUUUAAAACCAGUCACCAUGACUACCACAACCCAGUUUCUCAUGCUACCACAAACCUUCUAUUUCUCACUGCAAUGUGGUGUGUGGCAUGGUUGGAGUCACAAGACUGAUUUUCAUGGGACUUUGAACCUCUGAUUCUUAUGUUUCUUUGAGUUUCAUUUUAAGCCUGGUCUUUGCAGAGAAAGGGGGAAGAAAUCACAGAUAAUUAAAGCAUAAAAUAUUCUCAUUUCAUGGUGGGGCUAACAAGUGAAACUACAAGUAAUGAUGUAAUCCAACUUGUCAAAAAGGGAAAUGAAAAGAGGAGACAGAAGGCAGGACAGAGCCUUGGGACCCAGCGUGCCAUGUCAUCUUCUAAUUAACUAACUGAUCCUUUAAACUGUCAAACUCGGCGAGGAACUCCAUGGCCUGGCAUCUGAUUAAUAUUCAUAUUCGGGCACUGGAUGCUCU
rnacentral:lncRNA from 1 species